GGAGUCUAGCGUAUACGCGAGUCAUUGGGUGGAAAACCCAUAGGCGUAAUGAAAGUGAAGGUCUCUUUAUGAGGCUGAUAUGCGAUCCGUUGCACUACGGUGUAUGCGGAGCAGCAUAGCCCCGUCUCGACUGCUUGCAGUGGGGCGGAGGUAGAGCGUAUUCGCUGGUACCCGAAAGAUGGUGAACUAUGCCUGAGCAGGAUGAAGCCAGAGGAAACUCUGGUGGAGGUCCGAAGCGCUUCUGACGUGCAAAUCGAUCGUCUGACUUGGGUAUAGGGGCGAAAGACUAAUCGAACC
rnacentral:rRNA from 1 species